rnacentral:rRNA from 1 species
UACGUAGGUGACCAGCGUUGUCCGGAUUUACUGGGCGUAAAGAGCGCGCAGGCGGUCGUUCAAGUCGAGUGUGAAAGCCCCCGGCUCAACUGGGGAGGGUCACUCGAUACUGAUCGACUUGAAGGCAGGAGAGGGAAGCGGAAUUCCCGGUGUAGUGGUGAAAUGCGUAGAUAUCGGGAGGAACACCAGUGGCGAAGGCGGCUCACUGGGUCAUUACUGACGCUGAGGCACGAAAGCGUGGGGAGCAAACAGG